UUUUUUUUCUUUUCCAGGCAUCUUCUUGAAUCUCUCAUUUUCCUGAACAAGUGCAAUGAUGAGAGAUCUUGUUGGACACAGAAGAGAAGAGAGACAAUAUUUGUCUGGAGCAGCUCUUGCCAGAUGAGAAAUCCCUCAGUGUGCACACAGUUGUUUGACCACCUCGCACAAUGAAAUGCUGCAUCGGGAAUAUCCAUAUGAUAAGGAGACUGGAGGAUGCUUUUCUGCAUAACUUUAUCAUUCCAAUGGUCUGGAGGAUUUGGAUGAUUGAAAACCAACAAGUAAAUAAAGCCCUAUCUAUUACACAGCCAACUGUUGAGCCAAGACCCCUUCUAGCUGCUACCAUCAGGUGUCUGCAGCUGGACCCCCAGUGCUGUCCCCAAAGGAAGCUUCUGGGUGAGGGUCCAUGGUUGUGUUGUGUGGGAGACUGCAGCUGAGAUCUAUCCAAGCCCAGGAUGGCUGUGAUGGGAGGUGGAGGGCUGGAGGCCUCUGGAAGCUGCAGGCUCCCUUGGGUCAGAGAGUGAGAAGUAAAAAGUGUUAGAUGGAGGAAGACACAUUUUAAGAUAUUUCCAAGCCUCCAUCUCCAAGAUUUGAGUUCCAGCUUUUCUUCUGAACUCUCCUACUUCUUCAUUUUCCAUGUGUGCGUGUAUCUGUAUUCUCCA
rnacentral:lncRNA from 1 species